AGAUUAUAUGGAGUUUCUGUGACUUUGGCAUAAAUUUUCACUUUCACAUUUCUACAUUCGUGGAAAACACUUGCACCAGCUAUAUUUUCACAUGGCACCCAGACAUUCCUGUCAAAGCCAUGCACAGAAGUUUCUUUCCAAAAAGUGUCCGUGAGUAGAUAUAAACAUAGUUCCCUUGAGAAUGGACACUUAAUGACAGACUGGAACAAGGAUGGGGAGAGUGAAGGCCAUCAAAGACAUCCGGGGACUCCCAUUCCAGAGAAUGAUUAUGAAUGUAAUAAAAAUUGGGAGGUCUUUGA